AGGGAGUCCUGUCUCUCCUGACUUUAGCGGUCCUGGGUAAAUAUUGAUUUGCCCCGCGUUUACCUUCUUACUGACUGACCAUUUGCAGACUAAGGAGCCAACCUCUGUGAAGACUUGAUUUCUGUUACUUUGGAGCCCUUUUCAUCGGUCCCCCCACUCCUUCCUCCCUCUAAGUGGCAUUGUAAAACUCAACAGUGACAAAGAGAUGAAGUACCGGUUCCAGGCUCCAAUUCUCGGAGACUCGAGGGCAGUUUACAUACAGGUCAGACACGGCUGGAGGCCAAGGUCAAGUUGAAAGUUGCUGUCUAGUCAGCAUGAGAAACUACAAUGAAAGCCCAGAGACAGAGCCGACUGCCCACCACCCCUCU
rnacentral:lncRNA from 1 species